UACAGAGGGGGCAAGCGUUGUUCGGAAUUACUGGGCGUAAAGGGCGCGUAGGCGGCCUGUUAAGUCGAACGUGAAAUCCCCGGGCUCAACCCGGGAACUGCGUCCGAUACUGGCAGGCUUGAAUCCGGGAGAGGGAUGCGGAAUUCCAGGUGUAGCGGUGAAAUGCGUAGAUAUCUGGAGGAACACCGGUGGCGAAGGCGGCACUC
rnacentral:rRNA from 1 species